rnacentral:rRNA from 1 species
UACAGAGACUGCAAGCGUUAUUCGGAUUCACUGGGCGUAAAGGGUGCGCAGGCGGCCAAGUGUGUGAGGCGUGAAAGCCCGGGGCUUAACCCCGGAAUUGCACCUCAAACUACUUGGCUAGAGCAUUGGAGAGGGUAGCAGAAUUCAUGGUGUAGCAGUGAAAUGCGUAGAUAUCAUGAGGAAUACCAGAGGCGAAGGCGGCUACCUGGACAAUUGCUGACGCUCAGGCACGAAAGCCAGGGGAGCAAACGGG